AGAGUUUGAUCCUGGCUCAGGACGAACGCUGGCGGCGUGCUUAACACAUGCAAGUCGUGGGGGGGUAGCAAUACCUCACCGGCGAACGGGUGCGUAACACGUGAGCAACCUACCGAGUUCUGGGGGAUAGCCGGCCCAACGGCCGGGUAAUACCGCAUACGCUUCUCGCGGGGAGUCUCGUGAGAAGGAAACCUCCGGGGGAAUUCGAGGGGCUCGCGGCCUAUCAGCUAGUUGGCGGGGUAAUGGCCCACCAAGGCGAUGACGGGUAGCUGGUCUGAGAGGAUGGCCAGCCACAUUGGGACUGAGAGACGGCCCAGACUCCUACGGGAGGCAGCAGUGGGGAAUCUUGCGCAAUGGUCGAAAGACUGACGCAGCGACGCCGCGUGCGGGAGGAAGCUCUUCGGGGUGUAAACCGCUGUUGCCCGGAACGAAACGCCUUUUUCGAGAGGCUUGACGGUACCGGGUGAGGAAGCGCCGGCUAACUCUGUGCCAGCAGCCGCGGUAAUACAGAGGGCGCGAGCGUUGUCCGGAAUCACUGGGCGUAAAGGGCGCGUAGGUGGCGGCAUAAGGCUGUGGUGAAAGUCUGGGGCUCAACUCCAGAUCGGCCGCGGCGACUGUGUCGCUUGGGCACCGUAGAGGCAGAUGGAAUUCCGGGUGUAGCGGUGGAAUGCGUAGAGAUCCGGAAGAACACCAGUGGCGAAGGCGGUCUGCUGGGCGGUGAGCUCGCGAGAGCUCAAUAGCCGACACUGAGGCGCGACAGCGUGGGGAGCAAACAGGAUUAGAUACCCUGGUAGUCCACGCCGUAAACGAUGGGCACUAGGUGCUCCGGGGAGCGACCCUUGGAGUACCGGCGCUAACGCAUGAAGUGCCCCGCCU
rnacentral:rRNA from 1 species